rnacentral:rRNA from 1 species
UACGUAGGGUGCAAGCGUUAAUCGGAAUGACUUGGCGUAAAGGGUGUGUAGGCGGUUUGUUAAGUCUGAUGUGAAAUCCCCGGGCUCAACCUGGGAACUGCGUUGGAAACUGGCAAACUAGAGUACGGAAGAGGGGGGUGGAAUUCCACGUGUAGCGGUGAAAUGCGCAGAUAUCAGGAAGAACACCCGUGGCGAAGGCGGCUCUCUGGGACGGUACUGACGCUGAGACGCGAAAGCGUGGGGAGCGAACAGG